AACGAACGCUGGCGGCAUGCCUAACACAUGCAAGUCGAACGAGAACUUCGGGUCUUGUGGCGCACGGGUGCGUACCGCGUGGGAACUUGCCCUUAGGUUCGCAAUACCUCACCGUAAGGGGUGCUAAUACCGGUUAAUGUCUUCGGACCAAAGAUUUAUCGCCUUUGGCUGGGCCCGCGUUGGAUUCGCUAGUUGGUAGGGUAAAAGCCUACCAAGGCGACGAUCCUUAGCUGGUCUGAGAGGAGGAUCAGCCACACUGGGACUAAGGCACGGCCCAGAAUCCUAGGGAAGGGAGGAGAGGAGAAUAUUGGAGGAGGGGGGAAGGCCUGAUCCAGCAAGGCCGGGUAAGUGAUGAAGGCCGUAGGGAUGUAAAGCUCUUUGACCCGGGAUGAUAAUGACAGUACCGGGAGAAUAAGCACCGGCUAACUCCGUG
rnacentral:rRNA from 1 species